UUAAACUUUACAGAGAUUAGAAGAGUCAACCAAGGCCUGUGUAGUACUGACCCUCCCACGACGGUACCCAAUCACUUUGAACCUGAAAUCUAUAGUCAUGAGGGCAAGGGAGCAUACCGGUUCCAGUGCCCCAGUGCAGGUCUGUUCCAGUGCAGUAUAACAGGCCUGGUGUUUAGGAUGGAGGGAGAGGAGAGGUGCUCUAUAGGACAG